CUGAAAAAUAAGAGUACGAGUGAAGGAAUGGCAAAAAUAAAAUGGCACGAAGAAGGAAAAAACAUAAAGAGAAAUUGUUUACCGCAAUUUGAAAUAUAACUGUCACUGCUUAUUAAUGAUGCAGUGGGGCUGAUGGAUGGCAUCGCACGAGGACUGGAACUCUCUCGAAUGACAGACUGUAAAUCUUUCUUUACACCACAAAACUCACACGAAUGGACAGAGGCCCCACCGUUUGGUAUUAUAUGAUGCUCAUUCUCGUGAUCCAUACCAUUACUUGACAUCGUGAAAUGUGCGCCACAGUAAUGGCACAUAUUACACCUGAUCCGGAACCCUUUCAGCCUGAAAAUUCAGUGAAGGCAAAUUCAAAUUUUUGAAAUACCUCAGAAAAACAUUGGAAAUAAAGUGUAUAACCAAAGUAUAGUUCAAAAAUGCAAAUUAGAAUCGAAAAGCACCAACAGUACCAAUGUCAAGAAUGGAAUCCAAAAACAGUAACAAUAGUAUUGUUAAAAAUUAAAAAAAUUAAGGGAAAAAAAAAGUAUUCGUUCCGAAGUCAAGAUCCCAUAUGUGACGGGUAACGGAGAACUUUAACCAGAUAAAUAGCAAUUUAUAGGUAAACCAUAUGAAUAGAUUUCAAGAACAUAAUAAAAUUAAUGAGCACCAGGAUAGUUGUUAAAUAAAGAGAAAAUUUCUUCUUUACAUAUUAACAAAAAUACGAAUGCACCCACGCUAUUCUAUCACCACCAUUCCAACCUUCCUCCCCAAAAAAAUAAAUAAAUAAAUUCUAAUGUGUUACACAAAGAAAUGAUAAAAUAAAAUAAAAUAAAAAAAUGAAUCAGAGAAAGAAAUAAUUACCCAACAAUUUCAGACCAAGAUGGGCCAAAUCAUUUGCUAUGGAAUAUCAGAUUUAAAGAACUCACCAAUCCCCUAAAAAGUAAUAAGAAAAAAGUUUUCUUUUUAGGUACUGAAUGAAUAUCCAAAUCUUCAGUGUACCCGCUAGGCCAAAAAUGGGAAUGUUUCAAACAUAUUCACAUAGAAAACUGGUCAAAUACCCAAUAGAUCAAUACCCAGCAGGGAAAAAAGCUUAUUCACCAAUUCUGAUUGAUCUCGAAUAUAUGACUCGAAAGUUGAACAGUUCAAAUUUACGAAUCCAAUCCAAAAACCAAGAAUUUACAAUUAGUUUGUCGGUUGACUCUUGAGUCAAAAAAGCAUCACAAAACAACUAAUCCCCAAUUUGAAUAAGGGCAAAGAACAUUAAUUUAUCCAAUAUCAAACAAGAUCAAAAGAAUCACAAUAAUAUGCUUGCAGGUGAAUAUAACAUACUAUUAUGGAGUUCGAAACAACAAUAAAUAAUAACACAAAAUAGGAAAAACAAGACUUGUACAACUUACUGUUAAAGCAACCCAACCAACAAAUAAUCAUGCCCUUUAAAUCCUUCCAAAGAAUAUUAUUAAUUGCACAAACUAAUUUCAGUUCCCACAAGAUAUUUCUUGCUUUAGGAAGCAGCGAUUUGAAAAUCUUGGACAUUCAAGAACUGAAGAGAGAGAAAAAGGAGGAGAGAGAAAGUAUUAAUGAAUUAGUUCAAGAGGAGAGAGAGAGAAGAAGAAGAAUGGAGUAAAAAAAGGUUGAGAAUGGAGGAGAGAAGAAAUGAGAAGGAAGCCAAAAAUUGUCUCGGAG
rnacentral:lncRNA from 1 species